rnacentral:tRNA from 1 species
ACACCGAUGGUUCAGUGGUAGAAUUCUCGCCUUCCACGCAGGAGACCCGGGUUCGAUCCCUGCCCAGUGCA